UUUUCUUUCUGUUUAAUUUACAUAUGGUUUAUGAUUCAUAAUGAAUCGUGCGUAAAACAAAACCGACAGAAUCACAAGACCAGUCUGGCGGAAGGCAAUCAAUAAAAUGUUUAAUUACAUAUAAAAUAUACUCAACAGGUGUUCGCUGAAAUGGAUAUUUUAUUACAAGAAAACAUCGGUAUAAAUUAAUUAGGACGUCGGAGGAUGGCUUACCUUGUUGUUGAGCGAUUGUGUCGUGAUGAAUGAGCAGAGUAUCACGAACGCAGAGAGCCAGUGCGUCGCCACGGAAGACUCCAUGAUUGUCCUAGAAAUAAAGUAAAAUAAAACUUAUUAAA